rnacentral:rRNA from 1 species
AGUUGAUUAUGGCUCAGGAUGAACGCUGGCGGCGUGCCUAACACAUGCAAGUCGAACGGGGUUAAGUGAGUGUUUCGGAUGGAUCUUAACUUAGUGGCGGACGGGUGAGUAACGCGUGGAUAACCUGCCUCACACAGGGGGAUAGCAGCUGGAAACGGCUGGUAAUACCGCAUAAGACCACGGUGCCGCAUGGCACAGGAGUAAAAGAUUUAUCGGUGUGAGAUGGAUCCGCGUCUGAUUAGCCAGUUGGCGGGUAACGGCCCACCAAAGCGACGAUCAGUAGCCGGCCUGAGAGGGUGAACGGCCACAUUGGGACUGAGACACGGCCUAAACUCCUACGGGAGGCAGCAGUGGGGAAUAUUGCACAAUGGGCGCAAGCCUGAUGCAGCAACGCCGCGUGAGUGAAGAAGUAUUUCGGUAUGUAAAGCUCUAUCGGCAGGGAAGAAAGGCCCGCAAGGGAGAUGACGGUACCUGACUAAGAAGCCCCGGCUAACUACGUGCCAGCAGCUGC